rnacentral:tRNA from 1 species
GGGCAGGUGGCGGAAUUGGUAUACGCGCACGCUUGAGGUGCGUGUGCCGAAAGGCGUAAGGGUUCAAGUCCCUUCCUGCCCACCA